CACAAGAGCAGUGAUCCCCAGAUUUUCUCAACAAUGUAUCCCAUUUCCUGAAACACUUCACCACUGAUCUCCUUUUUACAAGAAGAAAAUUUUGGUGGACCGUUACCCAGCAAGGAAAGGACGUUUGGCUAUUAAGAUAGUUGCUGAGAAUUAUAAGUAGUUGUAUGCCGGUCUGCCUCCUGGAGAAGGAAGUAGCUUCUAAAGGCCGGAGUCUUUGCCUUUGACUCUAACAUUGCCCUAGCAGAAGUUUAUGGAAUUGAAUCCAGAUAUGAACAGUCAGAAAAUAAGUGUUUGAUUCACCACUCUCUUUGGAUCAAGCCUACGGAUAGUGCAGGCAUCUCUUCCAGAAAAUGAGAAGCCUUAUUUCUUCUAGGGGCUAAAGGCCCCUCCCCCACCAAAAAAUUCUGUUGAAUUCCUUACUUCUAAAAUGCCACAUGUUUUACUCUUCCUUUUUCAUUUUGAAAUAAAUGUUUAAGAAAAUUCU